rnacentral:lncRNA from 1 species
UCCUUUUGCCUAUUCCCUGCAUCAUAGAGCAUACAUAAUGAUAAGAAUAACAUUAGGCUGGAAACCAUUGACCCAUGUACAGAAGAGAACAUAGAGCUACAAAAGUAACACGAGACGCUUUAUAUGAUUAUAUCACAAACCAUCUAUGAAUCGAUCAACACAUCAUUCAAAUAUAAUAUUGAUGCAAUGCCAUGGAGCCCAUCUGGCAGGAGCAUGCUCCCUUGUGGAUACAAACAGACAUGAAUGACUGAAGGAGGGAUUUGAAAUUUCAGUAACUACAUUUUUUUUUUAGAAAAGGAGGAUGACCUCCGGCCUCUGCAUCUGGAAGAUGCACUACUAUGCAAGUACCUGCAUGAAUGCUGUAGCAAUCUGGUAGGACUCAUCUAGUAGGGAUAUCACAUACACUCUGAAUCUGCAGCUCCUCUUCUCCUGCGGUUGUCCGAUUUUUUUCCAAUAAGUAACAGAUGCGUGAACCAUGGUGGCAUUACUUGCUUAUCGGCACAUAUGAAUGAUGUAUGGGAAGAAACAAACUAUCACUGGGAAGCGGAUUCCUAUCAAAAUAGAGAUCGAUCUGACGGAGAUAUACAUACAGGCUACAAUAACCAACAUGAAGGCUGAGGCUGGACGUCGUCCUUACAACUUCCUUGCCCGAUGGCUCGCACAGGCCGUCGCCACCCAACACGGGAUGUCAGCCGACCAGUCCAGGAAGCGCCCCCCUGAACUUGACUCAGCCCGCUGUCAGCAAUUGGAUCUCAUGGGUGCGCUGCAGGCAAGGACGUUUGGUGUUCCUCCGCCUCCAUGGGAUCUUCCCCUCCCCUCCUCUCUCCCGAGCCGAUUUACGGGAGGAGUUAGACAGGCGGCGGCGCGCGGCGAUGUGGGGCAGCAGGAGGUGGUGGCGCGAUUGAGGCG